GGACACACAAGGUCUGCAGCCUCUGGGCUUGGCGUGUUAUUAGAAGCUCCCAAAGGGCAGGACAAGGUAAUAUCUCUGUGGCCCUUGGUUGCCCUGGGUGCUCCAGAAGCCUCCCAGUGUCCUAAUCGGUGUAAGGCACAGAGAGGAUGGGGGAGGCGAAUGAGGAGCAAUCCCUGACACCUCGCUGGACCAGCUGCUACUUGGAAUCACACCCUAGAGAUUAUCAGUUGACUCUGACAUGGAACCAGUCCGAUGAUCUAGAGUGACCUCCCUAUACAAGUUCCUAUCAGCUCUGGGGAUGCGGAGUAUGUUUGGAAAGCCCCAUACAUGACCAACAGCCGUCUCCACGCUCUUCCCCCAUGAAGACUGAUUUUUGAUUUAUGGCUGUGGGCAUUUCCAGGGAGAGAUGUUCCCAGCUUGUUUCUGUGCCCAGCUGAUAUAUCGAAUAGCCCAAGCUGGGCAGCAGAGAAAGUUCGGCCUGUUGUCAGUUAAUGGCCCCUUUCUUUCUCUGGAUUCUCAGAAACUUUUUAAGGAGUGUCAUCAAAAUCAUCUGGCUCACCAAAGAAUAUGUCAUCAGAGGCCAUGCAACCAGAAUGAGGGUUAUGGUGAGGAAGUCGGCUUCCAUUUCUCUGGCUCACAUGCUCAAAA